GGAAGAAAAAGGAAGCAUAGUCAGAUUCCUAUCAUCAUCUUCAUCUAAAAUUCUAUUAUAUUUUUCUUCAAAUAUUGCUUGUUUUUGUUUCGGAAGAUCAUUAAUUAUAUAUAUAACAGGCUCAGUGGUGGAGUAGAGUGUUCCAAAAACAAUCAUUAAUUUUCAUCAUCAGGCAAUAGAAAAAAUUAAAGUGGCGAAGAACAAAUCAUCACAGGGCAGAUUGGAAUCAUUUUUCAAGCCAGUUGCUAAUUCAGCCGUACCAAUUAAGCGAAAGAAGAUCAUAUGAAAAUGCUAAUGGAUUUGAAUGAGAUAGGUGAUAUGAAUUUCGAGAAAAAUGAUAAGAAAGAAGAUGAGGAUGAUGACAUGAUUGUGAGAACUGCCCAAAUUCAUGAGCCUCAUCCAACUCCAACUCGGCCAACUCUAACUCAUCAUCUUUUUCCUUAUUACCAACACCCUUCUUCUGAGGUUAAUAAUGAAUACAAUCAUUACGGACCUAUGCUUAUGCAGCAGCAGCAGCGGCAGACAUGGAUUAAUCAAUUUAUUAGCCAAAGUAUUCCACCUUAUGAUCAAUAUUAUCCACAACAACUAAUGAAUAAUCCUCCGCUAGUACACCCAAUAGCGAAUCAUUAUCAUCCCCAGAAGCCACGCAUCCAGAGGAGAACUACAAACUCAUCAUCUGAACCCACUGCCAGUGAGAAUAAUAAUGAUGAAGAUAAUGAUGGGAUAGCAGCAGCCCCAUAUCCAUGGGCCAAGAAGAAACCGGGGUUUAUUCACAGCAUGGAAUAUUUGGUGAACAAUAAGAUUGUGAUGAUCGGUGGAAUGGUGAAUUGCGACAAGUGUAAAAAGAGUUUUAAAAUGGAGUUGGAGUUGAUGUCUCACUAUAAUAGAUUAAAGUCUUACAUCGCCCAGGAGAAGGGUGUCAUGAACGAUCGAGCACCAGAAAUUUGGCUCAACCCGAUUCGUCCCAACUGCAUUUACUGCCACAGUGAUAAGACCACGCCUGUGGUUGCUUCCAAGGAUGAGGAAAUCAACUGGCUAUUCUUGCUUUUGGGACAGUGGCUUGGCAUUUGUACGCUUACUCAUCUCAAGUUCUUUUGUAUGUGUACUAAGAAUCAUCGAACUGGGGCUAAGGAUCGAGUUCUUUAUCUUACUUAUCUAGAUUUGUGCAAACAACUCACCCCUCUACCGCUUUUUGAUCCUCGCAUACGUUAAUUUCGUAAUGUACGGUGAAGAAGAAGUGGGAGAUCAAUUGGCUGUUCUUGCUUCUUGGACAUUGGCUUGGGUGUCUUACGUUGAAUCAACUCCUUGAAUAUGGCCAACUCGGGUUCAGGAUCAUAUUCAAACCUAGUGGCAGAGUGUUAGGUCGAUGCCUACACGAGGAGCUACUCAAAUGAAUGAAAUAUCCAAGUUGAUGGAUCAAGGAAAAAGAGUGGCCCUCGAGGUGAAUGACAAAGGACAAUAGUGUGGCAAAAGCUACUCCAAGCUAGUAUCGACUUUAGGAGUUGGAUGCUGUCAGACGAUAGGGUUGUCCUAUAAAAAUAGGAAAGAAGUCAACCCUACACUGAAAAAUAAAGUUUGGACAGAUAUACAGACGGGUUUUACAGUGCCGGAUUCCUUCAAACAUGAUUGUCUGAUCCUUGCUGCGAAGUUAAUGAAAGAAUUCAAGAAUAGGAUGACAAAAGACGUUAUAAUGCACGCAAUUGAAGAGAAGGAUGUGCAACGACUGACUCAAGUCCUUGAAAAGAAUCCCGAAAUCGACCUUACUGAUUGGUUGAAAUUUGUUGAAAGUCGACUAACUCCUGAAUUUCAGGAAUUGAGUAAGGUGCAAAGGGAACGUUCGUCAAAAAUUCAAUCUAGACAUCGAAGUGGUCGGAGUGGAGUGGUGAACAUACGGGAAGAUGUGAAAAAUGAUCUCGACGUUCAAGAUCCCCCACGCCACCGUGUUUGGAUCAAAUCUCGUACCAAGAGAACUAAAAUUUGUCACUGAUUAUGACAAGAAAAUUGCUGAGAAGAUAGCUCAAUUAGAGGAGCAGUUUACUCAGGGACAAAUUCAAGUCUAGGGCCAAAACGAUAUCCUGACGCAGGCGCUCGGGACACCAGAGCAUCUUAGACGUGUCAGGGCUCCUGGAAAGAAAAGGGAAGUGUCUGAUGUUGUGGCUUGACAACAGAAGGAGAUUAAAAAAAUUAAAAGCCAAACUCCAAUCCCUUAAACAGAAGAAAAAACAUUGCCGAACAAGAGGAAGAAGGAGAGGUGGCUGGUGAGGCGUAUGUUCCACAACAGUACGCUCGUGAGGAUGAGGGUCCACCACAAACCUAUGCUGAGGAGUUUGUUUCACUCAACAAGCCAGCUCUCCUGUACAAUUUCGAUGACCAUUCGACCUUUGAUCAACAAGUAUAUCUCUGCUCUGACAAUAUCGACAACAUUGUGGCCCGAGCGUAUCUGUACGAGCAUAUUGGUAAAAUCAUUGUUCACUGCACGUACUACGAUGAUUCACAUGCCCAGGUUCUGAUUUCAUAAAUGCUGCAAGAGGAUGUUGAAAUCCCAAUCUCAAUUGAAGGGUGCAGAUUGUUAGGGAAGUACCAAAUAUUCCUUCCUUGGCCUAAACACUUAAUUGUAACACCCAAGGGUCCACUCGCUCAACCGCCUUCAAGACGUGAUGCGUCGAAGGGGAAAACUCCCAUGCUUUCUCCACAAGGCAGUCAUAAUCAAGAAGAUGAAUUAUUCUCGCAAAAGGUCAUGGACAAGAUCCCUAAAUCGCUAAAAUGGAUGGUUGUUGAAUUUCUGAACCUCAAAGAUAAACGUGAUAUAAUCACAAUUCCUGUACCCCAAGGAUUGAUAGCACCGCAUACCCAGAUCACGUUAUCUGGAGAGGAUUUGCAGCAGGUUGCAUUGUGUGACUUGAUCAGCAACCAGGGAAUGCUGUUUGGAAUGAUGUAUACUCUUCUUUAAUCUAAUUAACCUUAUAUAUCAAAUUCUAGUCAAAUUAUUAUUAUAAGACACUAAUACUUAACAAUUUUUUUGACAGGCACAUAUGGGAGAGCAUCAACGGUUUGAGAAAGUUUUUCAAAUUUUACGACCCAGAGCUUCUCGUAGUGAGUGGUAGCAACGAUGAAGAGAAGAGUCAGUCUUUUGACAAUGCGGCAAGACGAUUGGCUGCUUGGUUAUCAUCGAUGAAUAACAACCACCAAAUGUUCUUUAUUCCUUAGAAUAUCAGGCAAGGCUAAAGUUGAGGAGCCGUGAGUACGAGCAGAUACAUGUCGGGGUGGUUAGGCCUGGAGCGUACGAUCUUUGCGACAUCAAGGCUUUUGUUGUAUAGUCGCUGGGCGACAAGCUUUUGUUUAUGUGUAUAGAAAACUUUUAAAAAGUAUUUUGUAAACGGGAUCCCGGAAUUUUAUAUAUGUAAUACUUUAAGUUUUUAAUUAAAUAAGCAAAUUUUAAUUAA